GAAGAAGCAGGCUCCUAGCAGAGGAGCCUGACGUGGGGCUCGAUCCCAGAACGCCGGGAUCAUGCCCUGAGCCGAAGGCAGACGCUUAACGACUGAGCCACCCAGGCGCCCCUGCACAAGCAUUUUUUAUGUCAGAUUAAGGUUCAUUCUCUUCACUGCACCCAUUUGCUCCAGGGAAAUUUCCUCGGAGGUCAGUCUUUGUUUCUGACCUGAUGGUGGUAGAAGUCUUGGUGGAGGGGGUUUGGUGGCUUUGUGGCGUUAGUGGUGUUAGUAGCAGUGGCGACCCAACUGAAAGGUCACUGGGGCGCUGGCAGACCCCACUCUUGUGGCCUGAGGCCACCCGCACACAGGCCCUUCCCCACCACACAGGGGUUAAUGGGCCAGUCCCCUGACCUCAAAGGUCAUGGGUCGUGGGCUGCCCGAUUUAGAACCUCCCGGAAGUGGGAGGCUGCAGAGCUCAGUCCACGGAGCUGGUUGAGGUAGCUGUCGUCCCUGCCAACCGUCUCAGGGCUUCCCUCAUAGCACAUAUUUCUCUCCCCCGCAGUCCCUGUCUUCUUGGAAUGUUCUGGCUAGCGGGGCACGGGUGUGAGACGAGGUGCUGAGCGUUACCAGGAGGGUGUGCAGGUGUGCUGUGGGCUCAGAGCAGAGGAGACCUCCUCACCUGCGCGCUCAGACCCAGCCUGGGAGGCAGGCAGAGGGGGAACGGGAGCAGAGGCAGUGGAGCUGGAAGGGGUUGAACUUGUGAGAAGGGCAAGGAGAAGGCCAGGAUGGAGUGACGGACAGGGCAGGGGGGCAGAGUCCGGAGCUGAGCCUCCUGGGGACCUUGAGAGUCUGUGGACCUCCUCCCCAGGCAGAGGGACCCCGCUCUUCGAGGGCUUUAUCACAGUGCCGGCUGCACAUUUGUGUUUUUAAAGAUACUCCCCCUUACAGGUGGAGAAUUGACUGACUUUCUGUCCUCUGGGAAGCUGCAAUGAUGGGCCCAGGUCCCAAGGCUAGAUCCCUCCCCGCUGCUGGGCCCCUCAGUGGGCCCUGUCAGCAUCACAGCACUGACUGCCCCUUUGUCUGGGUUCCUGGUCUGCCCUGGGUGGCUGGAACGCAGCGCUCAGAGGUUGGUUGAGUGAAUGAGUAACAUGAAUUCGAGUUAACAGUAAUAAUAACUAGGUGACACUCAUAUGGGGCCAACAACGUGUCACUCUCCUAAGAACCUUACAUGUCUUUUUUUUUUUUAAAGAUUUUAUUUAUUUAUUUAUUUAUUUAUUUAUUUGAGAGAGAGAAAGCACAAGAGGGGGGAGGGUCAGAGGGAGAAGCAGACUCCCUGCUGAGUGACGCAGGACUCUGGGACUCCAGGAUCGUGACCAGAGCUAAAGGCACACACUACACCGACUGAGCCACCCAGACAGCCAGCAUUUUACACGUCGUAAUGGGCGUUUAUUUCAUCCUCGCAGGAUACUCACGAGGUAAGGAUCAUUGUUAUCUCCAUUUUGCAGGUACAGAAACUUAAGAGGGGUUCCAUGAGGGAGCUCAGUCGCCGGAUCCCGGGUAGGGGAGGAAGGACCCAGGAUGCACCGCAUCCUUAUCACACAAUUUAUUUUAACGGCUCUGUGUGAGAGUCCUGGCCUCCCUCCUGCCCAGCGGUGUGACUUGAAGCAAAAGUCACUUAACCUUUCCGAGGCUCAGUUUCCUCCUCCAUAAAAUGGGCACGAGAGGCCUACCUCACGGGGUACUCAUGAUGCUAACCGGAGACCGUGUGAAGUUACCCACGCAGCCCAGUGCUUUGGCACAAAGCACGCCCUCACUCGUGGCAGGCAGAAGAGAAUUUUUGCUCUGAGUCCCAGUAGGCUAUGGGGUCCUGGCUCCGCACCCCUCUUGCCCUCUAAGCACUCAGCCCAGCUCCCUGAGGCUUCUGUCUGUGCCUGCCCCUACAGUUGGCUACAGAAUAGCUGACAAUUCAAACCCUCCUUCAGCCGGUCCCCAAAUAUCGAGGGUGUGUUUAACCGUCCAGGCUCCAGAACCCCUGGGAUCCGGCAGGGCCAGAGCUGCCUUGCUUGUCCCCUGGAGUGCUAGGCUCAUAAACCCUCUUCUAGGUUGAUGCUCCCCCCUCCCCCCCAUGCUGCUCAGAGACUCUCACCUGCCACGUGUCAUCUUUGAGCUGAACCAACCUCCACCCAGAAGGGCCCAGGCUCUGCCUUGCAGAUUGGAGGCCCCAGUUAGUGCUGUUUUUACCCUCUUCAAGGGAACUGUUUUGGGGAAAGCAAGAACAGGGGUCCUGGGGUUCUCCAAGGGGCACCCCGGGGUGGGGGCUGGCAAGGAGAAGAAACAGGAGGUUUGCCUGGCUGGGGCUGCAGGCUGGAGUAGCUAGGCGCUGGUGAGCCUCGGGUCAAGCUUUUGCAAAUCACAUGCAAAUCCUCUCAGGUGUUGUACCUGUCAAUAAGCCUAUGUGCCAACACCCGUCCCUGUGGGAGAUUAGGGGAGCUUUGAAAAGACCCCUCCCUUGGUUGGGAGUGGAGUGGAGCUGGGCAGGGAGGGGACCCUCCCUGAUCUGAAGGAGGUUCCAGAAACCCCCAGGAGGGCCCUUCUUCAGUGGGCUGCAGGGAGCCUGGGCUGGGGGGGGGGAAGUGUUCCCUCCCUCUAGUUGUUAAGCGUUUAGUUCUGAGUUAUGGGUGUCUGGGAGGGGUGGGCUCUCUGAGGACAGGGGCUGGCUCCUUUUCCUCCCUCUGUGCAGGGGUGGCACAGAGCCUGCGGCAGGGCCAGUUCUGGUUGGAGAGAUGGCCCUCUUAUCCCCUAAAGACCCCCCCCCCACCACGGGGGCCAGGCAACUACAGGUCCCCAGCGGCUGGUAGUGCAGCCAGACCUCAACCCCCAGCUCCACUGGCCAGGCAGCAGGGAGAGUGGCCCCUUCAGAGAGAAGUCAGGCCUGCCUGGGUCUGGGAGCCCAGGUCCUAGGUGCUUGAUGUUGACAGGGACCUAGCGUGGAUUGAAUGAGUGAAGGAUUAAGCUUGGGGUGACAGAACCAAAGCUUGGGAGGAGGUAGUGACUCCCCCGAGCUUGUGGCACAGAGAACACGAGGCUUCAUGUCACCUAGGGUGAGGGUGUGUGACGGAGGGAUGCAGUGCCCCAAACACCAGCAACCCUGGAGAUUAUUUUCAGUGGCAGCUGGCAGCCGAGAGGCCAGGGACAGCAUCCUGUUCAAACCGCACUGAGGGCCUGAUCUUAGCUGUCUUCUUGCGGCCGUCUCCCUUGGGUGACUGCCAUUUCCCCAGCGUGGUUCUCUGUCUUUUCUGCUGCUUUUGUUAACAGUACGUUUAUUUUUUGCCUAUGUGAGCCAGAGGUCAGUUCCGUUUGUCAGUUAGAAGCCUCCCCAGUCACCCUGACCCCACACCCGUCGUGUGGCAGGAGUGUGAGGUAAGGUCCUGCGUGGGAAGUGGCAGAUUCAUAAUUGCGAUUAGACAAAGGUCAUUUUCUCCUUCACUCCCCAUGAUGACUUGCUUUCUGCUCUCUUUUAGAAUGAGUUUGGUCUCUGAUGGUGCUUGCUGGCCUGUGAUCUCACCAGGUCCAAGGGGAAGAGCGCCUCCUGGUGGCCAGAGAGGAGAUCCCAAGGGCAAGGGAAGCAGAGGGGCGGGAUGCAGGGCAGAGCCACAGAACAGUGUCUGGAGAGCAGGUGCAUGUCUUUUCUGGAAACAGUUGGCAGCUAGGAGCCUGGAGAGGACCCUGUCCCCGACUCAACUAGGGCCAGAGCCGGAGCUGACCCUUUGCAACUGGGAGUGUUGCAAGGCAUGCUCUGGGCAAGGCUGGCCCUUGUAGACGAGGGCAGGGAACCAAGGGCAACUGGAAGGGAAAGAGAUAAGGCCACUUCCGGAAAACAUGGGCGGGGUGGUCAUCCCUUCACAGAGAGGCAGAAACCAGCCCUUCAGAGAAGCACUCCUAGUGGCUUUCCGCCUGGCUCUGGAAGGGCUUUUUCCAGAGGGGGUGCUAGUGGGGGACAGCCAGAGCAGCACUUGGUUGCCAGGAUCCUCCAGGGUCCCCCACCACGGGUUUCCCUCUGAUUCCACAGCCACCACCACACUGGCUCUCAGGGCACCUGGCCUGGCCGCAGCAUUGCUGAUGUCGCUGGGAUUCUCCUGAAUAACGGGAGCAAGGGAGGCUGAGAAGGAAGGCGACCUUUUUGGAACACCUGCUGUGUGCUGGGUGUUUGCACACUUGAUCUCAUUUGAUCAUUAUCCUUCAAGGAAAAUAGUGGCAUCUAGAUCUUAUCUGUAUGGCAAAAGAGAGGCUCACAGAGGCGAUUUGUGGGACUAUCCCAAAGCCUGGGCUCUCUCUCCUACCCCAUGAGCUACUUUCAGACUGGUUCCAGAGGGGGCCCCACAUCCUGGGUUUGCUUGGCAGUGAUAAGGCAGUGAGCUGGGGGAGAGGUUUACAGCCUGCCUGCCAGUCCUGCCUCUAGGGAGAAAGGAGCUGCCGGUGCAGAGUGAUUUCCCAUUGGAAACAGUCCAGGUAGGAGGGUCUGGGUGGAAUGGUCCCAGAGCCCAGGGUGGGCGGCAGAGCUAGGGCAUGGGUGGAGGCAGGAUGGGGAAGGAGGGCUUGAGGAGGCAGACAAGGGUCAAACUCCUGGCUUCACAGUCUGCCCUGAGCUUUCUUAGCCUGCCUGCCAUGGGCCCAGGGGUCAUGCUUUGGUGCAAGGAAUUCUGCAUGACCUGUAGGCAUCACCAGCAAAGCCAAGGUCAAGUCCGACUCUGCAUAUGACUGGUGGUGUCAUCCUGGGCGAGGGACCUCCCCCUCUGCCCCCUGUUUCCAUCUGCCUGGCGGGCAUGAGGACACUGCCGUCACAAUCGUGAGGUCCAAGUGGACAACGCAGCAGGAGGGACCCGGCAGAAAGCAAGCGCUCCAGGGGCUCAGGCAGACUCUCCAGCAGAAUUGGGAGCAUCUGGACUGCAGACAUCUGCCAGAUUCUGACAUUUCAUUUCUGUGAAUAGAAGAUUCCUGAGAAGAGGUGGGUGAGGGCGGAGGAGGUUGUGGAGCGGGCCGCGCUCUCUGGGCCUGUCAGGGCUCCUGUAACCCUCGUUUGCUCACCUGUUGCUGCGGGAAAGGAGCAGCAGGAAAGUCCCCGGAGGUCAGGAAGGGUCUACACCAGCAGUGUUCCUGGUAGCCCCGGCAUGGAAAAGAUGAUGGGUCAGCCUCGUGGGAAAUGAUUCCCUGAAACUGGAAGUAAGGGGACAGAGUUGAACUCCUGGCAGGAAGUCGGACAAAGAAUUGCUACUUCAGCUGGAAACCAGAGCCUGAGGCUGAAGCUCCUGCAGGUGGAGAUCAGCUUCCCGAGACGAAGAGCCGGGUAGAGACGCGGAGGGGGGCCUGGAGCGGCAAAAUGGAAGAUAGCCAGCACACAGUCACUGUGUGUCUGCUAUCACUGUGCCCUCCGGGCCAUGGGAGCCGCCCACUCGCGUGCCUGAGAGUCCUCGUCUGGGAGCCGAGAAUCGUGAGAAUGGAGGACUCUCUCAGCCUCCAGUACCAUCAACAGUGAGGAAUCGCUCUGGUCGGAACUCAGAUGGAUCCCCCCACACCUUUCUGCAAGAGGAACAGAGGAGAUGGGAUUUCUGGUCGGGGGAGACCCUCGGAGAAAAAGCCUGGGGGAGACUUCUGUGGAUGGCACAAAUGUUAGAAUAGAUUGAGAGUAAUGAGAAGAGAAUGAAGAGAGGAACCAAACUGUACUUUCAUGCUUUUUCUUUUACAAAACUCUCUCUAAAAUGCUUGGCCUUGUAAAUGGUGCUUUGUUGUAUCAAUUUGUUAUUUUAAAGAAAUAAUGCUUCAACUAAAAGAAAUUUAAAG